GAUGAAGAACGCAGCGAAAUGCGAUAAGUAAUGCGAAUUGCAGAAUUCCAGUGAGUCAUCGAAUCUUUGAACGCACAUUGCGCCCUUUGGUAUUCCGAAGGGCAUGCCUGUUCGAGCGUCAUUAUCACCCCUCAAGCCCUCGGCUUGGUGUUGGACGGUUUGGUGGAGGCCCCCUCGGGGGCUCCUGCCCCUCCCACAGACAAUGACGGCGGCCUCGUUGGACCCCCGGUACACUGAGUUCUUCACGGGACACGUAUCGGACACAUGGGUUUACGGGACACGGUCUGCCUCCCCUCAGGGAGAAUCUUUCUAAGGUUGACCUCGGAUCAGGUAGGGAUACCCGCUGAACUUAAGCAUAUCAAUAAGCGGAGGA
rnacentral:misc_RNA from 1 species